GUACAGACUAGCCAGGCGUUCGUUAAAGCGAGUGGCGUCUUCUGUCUCGUCCUUUCAGCCCUGUUUUUCAGAAGCUGAGACUGUGCAGAUAACGGUGGCUGAUGAAGUGGCUGCUGAAGUCAUCAACAGUACCAUGAGCAUCUGUCUGGAGGGGUCUGAAGAGAAACCUCUGGUGAGCUCCAACCCUGACACAGGUAAAGUCAUCAGAGAGCUCCUGGACAUCCUAUUUGAUGAUGCCCUGUCGGCGAGUCUCCAUCUUCUGGGCAGAAAAUGAGCUUAUGGACACCAACCUGGAUCAUCUAGUGAGCUGCAACAAAGAUGCAGCUGAUGCCAUCAGAGAGCUCCUGGAGAUCAUGCUUCAUGAUGUUUUGUCAGCGAGUUUCCAGCCUCUGGAAGACGAUCAGGUGCUGAAGAUGUCUGACAGUGAAGCCAAUGACGAGCAAACGCACCCUGACCUGGAGAAGUCAGAGCCCACCAAUAUCCAUCCUCUGGCAGGAGAUGAGUGGCCGAAGCUGAAGGACCAUGUAGCUGAGGAAC
ensembl:lncRNA